GCCGGCUUGGCUCAGUUGGUAGCGCAGUUGAUUUGUAAUCAUCAGGUCGCCGGUUCGAGUCCGGCAGCCGGCUCCA
rnacentral:tRNA from 2 species